rnacentral:rRNA from 1 species
CCUACGGGUGGCAGCAGUGAGGAAUAUUGGUCAAUGGGCGCGAGCCUGAACCAGCCAAGUAGCGUGAAGGAUGACUGCCCUACGGGUUGUAAACUUCUUUUAUAAAGGAAUAAAGUGAGGCACGUGUGCCUUUUUGUAUGUACUUUAUGAAUAAGGAUCGGCUAACUCCGUGCCAGCAGCCGCGGUAAUACGGAGGAUCCGAGCGUUAUCCGGAUUUAUUGGGUUUAAAGGGAGCGUAGAUGGGUUGUUAAGUCAGUUGUGAAAGUUUGCGGCUCAACCGUAAAAUUGCAAUUGAUACUGGCAGUCUUGAGUACAGUUGAGGUAGGCGGAAUGCGGGGUGUAGCGGUGAAAUGCUUAGAUAUCGAGAAGAACUGCGAUUGCGAAGGCAGCUUACUAAACUGACACUGACAUUGAUGCUAUAAAGUGUGGGUAUCAAACAGGAUUAGAUACCAGAGGUC